rnacentral:lncRNA from 1 species
GGCCAUACCAAAGGACACCGGAGUAUUUUGAAAUAAAAAACAGGUUGAAAGAAAAUAUAGAUCUUUAUCUUAAAUCUUAUCUUAAAAUUUUAAUAUUAUAUAUCUGACUACGGUGAGAUUUUUUUAAUUUUUUAUUUUGUUCGUCCUUGUUUUCGAACAUGUGCUCGUCUGUUCAGCUGUUGUUUCUAAGUCUAAAAAAAUAAUAGUGCAAGUCAACAUAGAGAUCGUAUUUGACUCAUGUUCCUAAAUAGACGUAUUUGAGAUUGAAUCUUAGUUUAGGAGAAGUCUUACAUCUUAUAUAUAAUCUUGGUUUAGGAAAAUUAUUCUUACAUCUUACAUAUAGGUG